rnacentral:sRNA from 1 species
GCUGUGGCGCAUGCCUGUAAUCCCAUCAACUCAGGAGGCUGUGGCAGGAGGAUCACAAGUUCGAGGCCAGCCUGGGCACUUAGUGAGAUCCUGUCACAA